rnacentral:rRNA from 1 species
GAUGAACGCUGGCGGCGUGCUUAACACAUGCCAGUCGAACGGGAUCCAAGGGGUGCUUGCACUUUUUGGUGAGAGUGGCGAACGGGUGAGUAACACGUGAGUAACCUGCCCUUUUCUUUGGGAUAAGCAUUCGAAAGGGUGUUUAAUACCUUAUGUUCUGUCUGCCUCGCAUGGGGUGGGUGGGAAAGGCUUUGGCCGGAUUUGGGUGGGCUCGCGGUCUAUCAGCUUGUUGGUGGGGUGAUGGCUUACCAAGGCUUUGACGGGUAGCCGGCCUGAGAGGGUGGUCGGUCACAUUGGGACUGAGAUACGGCCCAGACUCCUGCGGGAGGCAGCAGUGGGGGAUAUUGCACAAUGGGCGAAAGCCUGAUGCAGCGACGCCGCGUGGGGGAUGAAGGCCUGCGGGUUGUAAACUUCUUUUGCUCUGAACAAGGCAUGCCAGUGGGUGUGUUGAGUGUAGGGGUGGAUUAGCGCCGGCUAACUACGUG